GCUACCCCGGCUGGCUCUCCGAGUGCUACCUCUACUUUAAGCAGAAGCACUUUUGCUUCUGCUUGAAGUAGAGGUAGCACUUGGGGAGCCGGCCGGGGUAGAGGGAUUUUUUUUAUUUUUUUUUUCAAU
rnacentral:sRNA from 1 species